GCCUCUGAUGAUGAUGAAACUCUAAACUUUCGUUCUUCUGAGAUAUUCUAUGCGGAAAAAAAUUGGAGACCUGAACUGAAGAAGU